rnacentral:lncRNA from 1 species
CUUUUCAUUCCCGUUGUUAUGGAGGGCCACAUCUGCCAGAGCCUGGAGUCUGCGAAGGCCGGGACCCGGUUCCCCGGCCCACAGUGGGGGUGUGCAAACCCGAGAGAACUGGGUUGCAAAUUCGUGAAGAAUCAGCAUCAUGUUUGGCAGCUGAGUAUUGGAGCCAGGAGCCUGCCAUGAGCCGAUGCAGCCUCAGUGUUCCUUUGCCUUGGGGGUUUCUGAGUGGUGGGGUUGUAAGCAGAUCCUGCCAGGCACCCAGAAGGAAACCUCAUCAGGACUCCCUCAGAAAGGCCCUGAAGAAUCCUGUGACCUUCAUCUAAAGUAGGUCAUGAGACCCCUGAGCUUAAAACGGAGUGAUCGGCUUUGGAGAAAAAUCCCUGGAAGGCACGCAGGCUGGACAUCAUCAUAUAUUCUCUACAGAUGGAGACACCAAGGCCCACGCCUUCUGUGCUGUUGGAAUUUCAGGAAGGAUGGGGGUGGGGCACGGCCUCAGCCCUGGGCAUGUUCUGCAGAUUGCACUGCUCUUAUCUGCCAGGGGGUGGUGAGAGGGUGGCUGAGCUGGACAGAUGGCGGGCAGGGACGGGCUCUGCGGUCUGGCAGCUGACAUUGAUACAAGCAAAAAAAGAGUCUUUGCUGGGGGC